GUUUUCUUUCAGCCCACCCAAUGCAGACGCGGGAACCAAACAACAAGCCUGAUUUGAACAACAGUGCUUCGUUUCUCCAGUACACCGGAACCAAAUAUUUUAUGUUUAAACCUCUAUAAUCACCCACAACACCACCAUUUCAUUAAUGUGUGUCGGCUUGGGACUGGAAUAAAACACUAAAAGUAAUAGACUCAGCGCUGGAGAAGGGUGAGUAAUUUAUUUUAAAAUUAAUUAUUUUGUUUUACUUUUAAGAUUAUAGGGGAGGGCACCUAGUUGUAUAGGGACACCAGGGCUGUAGUGUUGGGGAUACGGAUCUGUAAGGCUACAGCGUUCCUUUAAAAUACAUACAAAACAAGACAGGACAAAUUCAAGUAAGAAACAAUAACAAUAUGGAAUCAUUUAACAUAAUUCAACUAUAAGGUGACGGACACCUGGUUCUUAAAACAGUUAAAACAUUUCAUUGAAAACUUCCUAAAAGAAAUGUUCAUACUAGGUCUCCUCGAGUAAUGUCUCCAACCAUACAUUCCAAUGUAUCCACUUUUAUAAGCAAAAUGCAGACAACCUAAACCUGACCCAGCUCUUUGCUAUAACUAACAUGGUGAUUACUAAUCUGUGUAUAAUAAUCUAUUUUAGUUCCCAUGAAACAUUUGGCCAAUUCGGUAGCAACAAAGAUUCAACUGGAGAGAAUUUCA